UUAUAGCUUUCUUGUUCGUAGACAAAGAGGAUUCGGAAUUGUCUUUCAUUCCAAGGCAUAACUUGUAUCCAUGCGCUUCAUAUUUUUAUGCUGGUUCAGUCAGUGUUUAUGACCAAAGAGGAUUCGGAAUUGUCUUUCAUUCCAAGGCAUAACUUGUAUCCAUGCGCUUCAUAUUCGCCCGGAGUUCGCUCCCAGAAAUAUAGUCAUCCCUGCCCCCUCACGUCAAUCCCACGAGCCUCUUAUCCAUUCUCAUUGAACGACGGAGGGGGAGCAAAUCCAACUAGAAAAACUCACAUUGGGCUUAGGGAUAAUCAUGCUCGAACUGAUGACUUCCACCAUUUCAAGGUGACACUCAACCGCUGAGUUAUAUCCCUUCCCUGCCCCAUCGAGAAAUA
rnacentral:lncRNA from 1 species